AUUGAACGCUGGCGGCAGGCCUAACACAUGCAAGUCGAACGAGUGGCGGACGGGUGAGUAAUGUCUGGGAAACUGCCUGAUGGAGGGGGAUAACUACUGGAAACGGUAGCUAAUACCGCAUACCAUCAGAUGUGCCCAGAUGGUAUUAGCUUGUUGGUGGGGUAACGGCUAACCAGGGCGACGAUCCCUAGCUGGUCUGAGAGGAUGACCAGCCACAUGGGAACUGAGACACGGUCCAGACUCCUACGUGAGGCAGCAUGGGGGAAUAUUGCACAAUGGGGGCAAGCCUGAUGCAGCCAUGCCGCGUGUAGGAAGAAGGCCUUCGGGUUGUAAAGUACUUUAAGCGGGGAGGCGUUACCCGCAGAAGAAGCACCGGCUAACUCCGUGCCAGCAGCCGCGGUAAUUC
rnacentral:rRNA from 1 species